rnacentral:rRNA from 1 species
UCGCCCAUUAAAAGGGAUCGUGAGCUGGGUUCAGACCGUCGUGAGACAGGUUUGUUGCUUUUUGGUGGAAGCGCUUUGAUGCCUGAGGGGAAGGUCCCUUAAGUACGAGAGGAACGGGGGAUCGGCGCCUCUAGUGUAUGGGUUGUCUGGCAAGGCAUUGCCCAGCAGCCACGCGCCAUGCGGAUAACGGCUGAAAGCAUCUAAGCCGGAAACCGCCCUCAAGACGAGGCAUCUUAUGGCCGUCGUAGUCGACGACGUUGAUAGAGCGGGGGUGUACGCACGAAGCUCGCAAGGG